UUCAGCACAAGCACUCCUUUGCCUAGGAAGACGCAGGCUUCAGUUCUUCCAUUGCUCUGUGCUUCAACCUCAACCGGUCUCCAGGAUCGUGACCUCUCUGGAUGGCCGUACAGCUUUGCUGCAUGUGGCUUCCAUCAAGACUUCCAUGUAAUAACUGCCAAUCUUUUAGCUUACACUCCUCAAGACUGGAAAACCAAAGAACUUCUGAGGUUUUCAGACUCUUCCCUGGAUGGAAAAUCCUCUCUGGACUCAAGCUGAUUUCAUGGAGGCCGAAGUAACACAUAACACAAGUUUAAUCAGGGAUUUCUGCUUAGAAAGAAGAACCACACAAGCACCUGCACAUCCAUCAAAGAGUCCCAGAGUGGGUAAUGAUAAUUAUUAUGUUUAUUAUUUUACUUGUAAAACAGUAAAAUUCAGGCUGUGUUAAGCUCUGUAUAAUAACAUUUAUCCUUACUACAACUCUACAAAGCUAUUGUUACAAGAAUAAAAUUUGCUUAUUUAUUCA